rnacentral:rRNA from 1 species
UUUUAUGGAGAGUUUGAUCCUGGCUCAGGAUGAACGCUGGCGGCGUGCCUAAUACAUGCAAGUCGAGCGAACAGACGAGGAGCUUGCUCCUCUGACGUUAGCGGCGGACGGGUGAGUAACACGUGGAUAACCUACCUAUAAGACUGGGAUAACUUCGGGAAACCGGAGCUAAUACCGGAUAAUAUAUUGAACCGCAUGGUUCAAUAGUGAAAGACGGUUUUGCUGUCACUUAUAGAUGGAUCCGCGCCGCAUUAGCUAGUUGGUAAGGUAACGGCUUACCAAGGCAACGAUGCGUAGCCGACCUGAGAGGGUGAUCGGCCACACUGGAACUGAGACACGGUCCAGACUCCUACGGGAGGCAGCAGUAGGGAAUCUUCCGCAAUGGGCGAAAGCCUGACGGAGCAACGCCGCG